CAUAGGUUAAUGAGGCGAACCGGGGGAACUGAAACAUCUAAGUACCCCGAGGAAAAGAAAUCAACCGAGAUUCCCCCAGUAGCGGCGAGCGAACGGGGAGCAGCCCAGAGCCUGAAUCAGUGUGUGUGUUAGUGGAAGCGUCUGGAAAGGCGCGCGAUACAGGGUGACAGCCCCGUACACAAAAAUGCACAUACUGUGAGCUCGAUGAGUAGGGCGGGACACGUGGUAUCCUGUCUGAAUAUGGGGGGACCAUCCUCCAAGGCUAAAUACUCCUGACUGACCGAUAGUGAACCAGUACCGUGAGGGAAAGGCGAAAAGAACCCCGGCGAGGGGAGUGAAAAAGAACCUGAAACCGUGUACGUACAAGCAGUGGGAGCACGCUUAGGCGUGUGACUGCGUACCUUUUGUAUAAUGGGUCAGCGACUUAUAUUCUGUAGCAAGGUUAACCGAAUAGGGGAGCCGAAGGGAAACCGAGUCUUAACUGGGCGUUAAGUUGCAGGGUAUAGACCCGAAACCCGGUGAUCUAGCCAUGGGCAGGUUGAAGGUUGGGUAACACUAACUGGAGGACCGAACCGACUAAUGUUGAAAAAUUAGCGGAUGACUUGUGGCUGGGGGUGAAAGGCCAAUCAAACCGGGAGAUAGCUGGUUCUCCCCGAAAGCUAUUUAGGUAGCGCCUCGUGAAUUCAUCUCCGGGGGUAGAGCACUGUUUCGGCAAGGGGGUCAUCCCGACUUACCAACCCGAUGCAAACUGCGAAUACCGGAGAAUGUUAUCACGGGAGACACACGGCGGGUGCUAACGUCCGUCGUGAAGAGGGAAACAACCCAGACCGCCAGCUAAGGUCCCAAAGUCAUGGUUAAGUGGGAAACGAUGUGGGAAGGCCCAGACAGCCAGGAUGUUGGCUUAGAAGCAGCCAUCAUUUAAAGAAAGCGUAAUAGCUCACUGGUCGAGUCGGCCUGCGCGGAAGAUGUAACGGGGCUAAACCAUGCACCGAAGCUGCGGCAGCGACGCUGAUGCGUUGUUGGGUAGGGGAGCGUUCUGUAAGCCUGUGAAGGUGUGCUGUGAGGCAUGCUGGAGGUAUCAGAAG
rnacentral:rRNA from 1 species